GCAGUGGUGGUUCAGUGGUAGAAUUCUUGCCUUCCAUGUGGGAAACCUGGGUUCGCCUCCUGGUCAACGCA
rnacentral:tRNA from 1 species